rnacentral:lncRNA from 1 species
AGCAGUUGUACUGAUCCCGGAUCUUGAUUGCACUUGCACGUACAUCAGCCUUAUUCAUGAGUGUUUCUUCAUUUCUGGUUUUGUCCUUACUUUCUUGAGUCCUAACAUUUUUCUGUUCUCUGGAUUCAAGUCUUAAGCAACCUUUUCACUUGCCAGGAUUAGCGGUAUUCAUCUUCUAUCAAAUGCAGACAAACCCAAGCCGUGAGCAGAGAUGCAUAAAUGAGUGAUCUGUUGGGAAGAUUGGCUUCAUUCUAAUUUUGGCCACAAGCUGACUCCUCUUGUGUGCAGAAUGCUCCUAAAUUAGGUGCUUGAGAGCCAAUGACACUUAAGUGGCCAAGUAGUUUACAAGCAGUCAUUAAGGUGGAUUCUUCACUGCUGAGCCACCAGGGAAGCCCAAAAUGACAAUAAACAUGAUCAAAUGGAAAUGAACAUGAUUCAACUUUAAUGGCUUUAGUCAAGUAGUUGCUUAAGAAUUUUAGUACUACAAAUGAAUUAAUUUUAAGCACUCUUUGGCCAAAAUAGGGAACUAAGUUAAGGAUUUCCAGUUAGGACUCAGUACAUU